rnacentral:lncRNA from 1 species
UGCUGGGAAUUGGCUAAGUUAAAUUUUGAUUGUUCAGUAAAUUUAUUCUCAAUUUUCUUCAUUCCCUUAAAAUAUUAAUUAAUAAUAUAAUUUUUAUAUAAUAAAAUUUGUAAGAAGUGUGAGAGGAUGUAAGAGUAAAUCUUUAAAUUAUAAAUCAGGUGAACUAUCAGGUUCCAAUUGGCUGAAUUGAAAAGGAUGGGCCCCAUAUCCCGGUGUAUUACAUGACUCC